UAACAGAUGCCGAGGAACCACAAGUGCGC
rnacentral:piRNA from 1 species